CAGAACUGUACCGUUAGGACCACCUUAAAAUUCUCUGCUUCUGCAAAAUAGAAAAUGUGGCUCUAGUAAACUUUAAAUGGGCCAAAGCUCGUAUGGCCACUUCAUUGUGUCUAAGUUUAGCCCUCACUCCUUAGUGACUUUCUAAUGACACUGUGGUGGAGUGUCAGAGGAGCUGAACCCUCUUGGGGUCCCCCGCAGUGCCCCGCUAAAGUGGGCACCUGGGCACAGAUGGGCUGGAUGGGCACUGGCCCUGGUGUCAGCCAUCUUUGUCAGGCUGGAUGAUGGAGCUGAGUCUACCUGAGCACCAACCAGAGCUGUGCCAAGCCCACAGCAGGCUCCCAGGAUGCAACAGAACUAAUGGCCACCAUGAGGAUUCAUCUGCUGUGGAGAGCACUAACACAUCCAUUUCCUGGUGCUGCAUGGGUCCCGGCAUAGAGUCUAAAGUCCACGUGCUGGAGAACAGGACGGCGUCGCUGAAGUGCUGCUGGUCAGAGGUGAUUGAUCAGGAGGAAGAGUAUAGUAAUGGAGUGGUCUUCAAUCCGCUCACAUCUGUGUGUGCUGACAGAGCCCCAGCCAGCAUCCUCAUCCCGCACGCUACAGUCCAUCUGUACAUGGGUACCAGGCGAGCCGGUCCCUGCGCAUGUUCCAUCUCCCUCUGCUACUGCUGCCACCCAAACAGAAGGUCCUUCUGCAGCUGCCCACAGACAGUUCUGCCCAUCCUCAGAGGAGCU
ensembl:lncRNA